rnacentral:piRNA from 1 species
UGCAGAGCAGGGCCAGACUUGCAGUU